GACGAACGCUGGCGGCGUGCCUAAUACAUGCAAGUCGAGCGAAGUUUUUCUGGUGCUUGCACCGGAAAAACUUAGCGGCGAACGGGUGAGUAACACGUAAAGAACCUGCCUCAUAGACUGGGACAACUAUUGGAAACGAUAGCUAAUACCGGAUAACAGCAUUAACUGCAUGGUUGAUGUUUAAAAGUUGGUUUUGCUAACACUAUGAGAUGGCUUUGCGGUGCAUAGCUAGUUGGUGGGGUAAAGGCCUACCAAGGCGACGAUGCAUAGCCGACCUGAGAGGGUGAUCGGCCACACUGGGACUGAGACACGGCCCAGACUCCUACGGGAGGCAGCAGUAGGGAAUCUUCCGCAAUGGGCGAAAGCCUGACGGAGCAACGCCGCGUGAGUGAAGAAGGAUUUCGGUUCGUAAAGCUCUGUUGUUAGGGAAGAAUGAUUGUGUAGUAACUAUACACAGUAGAGACGGUACCUAACCAGAAAGCCACGGCUAACUACGUG
rnacentral:rRNA from 1 species